UGGGAAAUAUGGAAGGAACGAAAUGCUCGAGUUUUCCGCAACACUGCAGUCCCGGUGGGAGUGUUGGUCGCUAAGAUCAAAGAGGAGUGUUCGCUUUGGAGCUUUGCAGGAGCAAAAUAUUUGAGUAACAUUAUGCCGCGAGAGUGA
rnacentral:rRNA from 1 species